GCCAACGGCCACGUUACCAGGUUGAAUACACUGGUUCUCGCCCGAUCACCGAAGUUAAGCAACAUUGAGUGUGGUUAGUACCUGGAUGGGUGACCUCCUGGGAACACUGCGUGUUGUUGGCA
rfam:Rhodnius prolixus Rhodnius_prolixus-3.0.3-339.8, whole genome shotgun sequence.